rnacentral:sRNA from 1 species
UAAUUUUAUUGGUUUCCUGUUUGAAAAACAAUACAGUUCCAGCAGCAUUGCCUCACAUGUAUCUGCUCUGAGUUACAUACACAAUAUUGUAAAUGCGCCUGAUCCAACACAAACAUUUAUUGUUCGAAAACUCCUUAAAGGAUGUCACAAGCUUCUUCCUUCACAAGAUGCUAGAUUACCAAUAACACUGAGUAUAAUGCACAAAAUUCUCUCUGCAUUAGUUUUCACUGUUCCAAAUGCAUCAAAUCGGGUACUUUUGCAAAGUCUUUUUCUUCUUUGUUUUAACGCCUUUUUACGUUUAGGGGAAGUUGUCACAAAAAAGGUAUCAGAUAAAGACAGAGUACUUCAAGUUCAAGACAUUACUUUUAUGGGAGAUAAGAACAAUCCUUCAGCAGUUCAACUUGUUUUACGAUAUCAUAAAUCACAAAAGAAAAAUGAUCCUAUAAUCAUAUCUAUAGAAACCAACCCUGUUUCCAAUUUCUGUCCAGUACAGUAUCUCUAUAGAUAUAGAUCACAUUUUCAACAUGUUUCAGGCCCCUUUUUUCAAUUCAUCAAUGGCUCUCCAGUCACAUAUUCUUAUGUUAGCAGUGAGCUUUAGAAAGCCAUAGCAUUUGCGGGUCUUGACCCCAAUAGAUAUAAAGGGCACAGUUUUCGGAUAGGGGCAGCAACACAUGCUGCACAGUUAGGCUAUUCUGAGAAUUUUAUUCAGCAUUUAGGCCGCUGGAACUCCAAUGCAUUACACAGAUAUAUUAGAAUACAAUCGUUUCAACUGUAAUUAUUUAUAUAUACAAUCUUUCUUACCCCUGCAGUUUAUUUAUAGCAGGCCAGUGAGUAACUGCUGCUAUUGAUCUGUACCAAAAAAAAUGUCCUUAUGUUUGUUACUUUUUCCAUAAGAGAAUCUUGUGCGUAAAAUACGGAGGGUGUCUCAAUUAAUUUUGUUAGUUAUAGUAUGUUUACAGGUGUAGUAAUGUGUAAUGAUAGGUCAGUGUUUAACUGCUAUUUUGUAGUUGCACAUUGUGUCUUUAGAUAUUGUUAGUACAACUUUUAAGUUAGUUUAUUAGAGUGCCUGCGGGUUUCACCUUGGAAUUGCCAUUCAUGUUACGUUUGUACGGGUUAUAGUAUAAUGAAUUAUAUGCACUUAUUGCCAGGUCAGUGUGUAACUGCUGGUAACACUAUGCCAAGUCAGUGUUUAACUGUUGGUACAUUUGACUAUAAACUGUGAUUUGUGUAUGUGUUCACAUCAGCAUCAACAAGUGCACAACUCACCUUGGAUGGCACAAUUGAAUUGCCAAUUGUCAUUAUGCAAUUCACAUUUGGUGGCAUAUUUUAUUUUUGAGGUGCCAUCUUUUUGCUGGUUUUGUAUAUAUUGUAUAUAAUUUUGAACAAAAUAUUGUUUUUCUGUAUUUUAAGGGGAUCAGCAUAUUGAUAAGUUAUUUAACAUUUUGUGUGAACAGCUUUGGGUCUGAUCCCCUACUAUGUUGUUUAUAUUUUUCUUUACUUUCGUCAUUUUUAAUAAAUGACAUAUUUCAUCAUGCACAAGUGUUGAGUUCAUUUAUCAGACAGCAAAAACUGAGCUGCGGUGGGGUUGUGCAGCAUGAGAAAACAUAAAACAACAAUUAUGUUAAUAAUUGUAUUUAUGUGUUGAAUGCUAUAAUUUUAUUUGCUUAUUUAUUGUAUUUUUCAUGUUUAUGUUUGAUUAGAUAAGUUGCAUUUCUUUCCCAGGCCUUGUAGUGGUCGUUGGCCAUAUUAUGUAAUUUCCCUGCAGUGGUCACUGUCCAUGUCUAUUUUUAGCCCAAAUUCUUAGUCUAAAAACCUCCCAGUGACCUAUCAUGAAAUUGAUAAAAAUCCAAUGGUGAAAUUCUCCCCAAAUUUAAUUUAAUAGCCAAUCAAAUUAAGCGAUACGGUAACGUGGUUUGAUGCGGUCAGUAUCUGACCGGUGAGAUUAGGGUCAUUCUGUCUUCAUCUCUGAUAGUGUUAGCACGAGUAAUGUUUUGAUACACCCACCACCAUCCCCGUUUCACCACUCUAAUAUUCGAAAGUUGCAUACAUGUACAAAAUAUUGUUCUUUUGCAUAUGGCAUAUUUUAUUUUUGAGGUGCCAUCUUUUUGCUGGUUUUGUAUAUAUUGUAUAUAAUUUUGAACAAAAUAUUGUUUUUCUGUAUUUUAAGGGGAUCAGCAUAUUGAUAAGUUAUUUAACAUUUUGUGUGAACAGCUUUGGGUCUGAUCCCCUACUAUGUUGUUUAUAUUUUUCUUUACUUUCGUCAUUUUUAAUAAAUGACAUAUUUCAUCAUG